GAUAAUGUGGCUGAGAAAUUUAAGCAAUAAAUUGUAAAUUUAUUUACAGGAGUAUCCUCCUUAUUAUCA
rnacentral:tRNA from 1 species